UAGAGUGGUUUAAAUAUCCCAAAGGCAUCAGAUCCCAUCUGAUCUUGGAAGCUAGGCAAGAUCAACUCAAAUUAGUAUUUGGAUGAAAGAUUACCAACAAAUACCAGGUGCUGUUGGCU
rnacentral:rRNA from 11 species